rnacentral:rRNA from 1 species
AAUCAACGCUGGCGGCGUGCCUAACACAUGCAAGUCGCACGAGAAAGGGACUUCGGUCCUGAGUACAGUGGCGCACGGGUGAGUAACACGUGAAUAAUCUACCUCCGAGUGGGGAAUAACUGAGAGAAAUCUUAGCUAAUACCGCAUAACACUUACGAGUCAAAGCAGCAAUGCGCUUGGAGAGGAGUUCGCGGCAGAUUAGUUAGUUGGCAGGGUAANGGCCUACCAAGACGAUGAUCUGUAUCCGGCCUGAGAGGGCGCACGGACACACUGGAACUGAAACACGGUCCAGACUCCUACGGGAGGCAGCAGUGGGGAAUUUUGCGCAAUGGGGGAAACCCUGACGCAGCAACGCCGCGUGGAGGAUGAAAUCCCUUGGGAUGUAAACUCCUUUCGAUCGGGAAGAUAAUGACGGUACCGAGAGAAGAA